CGAAUGCUGACAUAAGUAACGAUAAAGCGGGUGAAAAGCCCGCUCGCCGGAAGACCAAGGGUUCCUGUCCAACGUUAAUCGGGGCAGGGUGAGUCGACCCCUAAGGCGAGGCCGAAAGGCGUAGUCGAUGGGAAACAGGUUAAUAUUCCUGUACUUGGUGUUACUGCGAAGGGGGGACGGAGAAGGCUAUGUUGGCCGGGCGACGGUUGUCCCGGUUUAAGCGUGUAGGCUGGUUUUCCAGGCAAAUCCGGAAAAUCAAGGCUGAGGCGUGAUGACGAGGCACUACGGUGCUGAAGCAACAAAUGCCCUGCUUCCAGGAAAAGCCUCUAAGCAUCAGGUAACAUCAAAUCGUACCCCAAACCGACACAGGUGGUCAGGUAGAGAAUACCAAGGCGCUUGAGAGAACUCGGGUGAAGGAACUAGGCAAAAUGGUGCCGUAACUUCGGGAGAAGGCACGCUGAUAUGUAGGUGAAGCGACUUGCUCGUGGAGCUGAAAUCAGUCGAAGAUACCAGCUGGCUGCAACUGUUUAUUAAAAACACAGCACUGUGCAAACACGAAAGUGGACGUAUACGGUGUGACGCCUGCCCGGUGCCGGAAGGUUAAUUGAUGGGGUUAGCGGUAACGCGAAGCUCUUGAUCGAAGCCCCGGUAAACGGCGGCCGUAACUAUAACGGUCCUAAGGUAGCGAAAUUCCUUGUCGGGUAAGUUCCGACCUGCACGAAUGGCGUAAUGAUGGCCAGGCUGUCUCCACCCGAGACUCAGUGAAAUUGAACUCGCUGUGAAGAUGCAGUGUACCCGCGGCAAGACGGAAAGACCCCGUGAACCUUUACUAUAGCUUGACACUGAACAUUGAGCCUUGAUGUGUAGGAUAGGUGGGAGGCUUUGAAGUGUGGACGCCAGUCUGCAUGGAGCCGACCUUGAAAUACCACCCUUUAAUGUUUGAUGUUCUAACGUUGGCCCCUGAUCGGGGUUGCGGACAGUGUCUGGUGGGUAGUUUGACUGGGGCGGUCUCCUCCUAAAGAGUAACGGAGGAGCACGAAGGUUGGCUAAUCCUGGUCGGACAUCAGGAGGUUAGUGCAAUGGCAUAAGCCAGCUUGACUGCGAGCGUGACGGCGCGAGCAGGUGCGAAAGCAGGUCAUAGUGAUCCGGUGGUUCUGAAUGGAAGGGCCAUCGCUCAACGGAUAAAAGGUACUCCGGGGAUAACAGGCUGAUACCGCCCAAGAGUUCAUAUCGACGGCGGUGUUUGGCACCUCGAUGUCGGCUCAUCACAUCCUGGGGCUGAAGUAGGUCCCAAGGGUAUGGCUGUUCGCCAUUUAAAGUGGUACGCGAGCUGGGUUUAGAACGUCGUGAGACAGUUCGGUCCCUAUCUGCCGUGGGCGCUGGAGAACUGAGGGGGGCUGCUCCUAGUACGAGAGGACCGGAGUGGACGCAUCACUGGUGUUCGGGUUGUCAUGCCAAUGGCACUGCCCGGUAGCUAAAUGCGGAAGAGAUAAGUGCUGAAAGCAUCUAAGCACGAAACUUGCCCCGAGAUGAGUUCUCCCUGAGACUUUAAGUCUCCUGAAGGAACGUUGAAGACGACGACGUUGAUAGGCCGGGUGUGUAAGCGCAGCGAUGCGUUGAGCUAACCGGUACUAAUGAACCGUGAGGCUUAACCUUACAACGCCGAAGGUGUUU
rnacentral:rRNA from 1 species